CUGGCGGCGUGGUUAGACAUGCAAGUCGAACGAGAAGCUCCCUUCGGGGGAGUGGAGAGUGGCGCACGGGUGAGUAACACGUGAGCAACCUGCCGGGAAGCCCGGGAUAGCCCUCCGAAAGGAGGAUUAAUACCGGAUGUGGCCACCCUGCGAUUGCAGGGGAAGCUAAAGGAUUAUUCACUUCCCGAGGGGCUCGCGGUCCAUCAGCUUGUUGGUGAGGGUAACGGCCCACCAAGGCGACAACGGGUAGCUGGUCUGAGAGGAUGGUCAGCCACACUGGAACUGAGACACGGUCCAGACACCUACGGGUGGCAGCAGUCGAGAAUCAUUCGCAAUGGGGGAAACCCUGACGAUGCGACGCCGCGUGGAGGAUGAAGGCCUUAGGGUUGUAAACUCCUGUCAAGAGGGAAUAAGCAAGUGAAGGUACCUCUAGAGGAAGGGGCGGCUAAUUCCGUGCCAGCAGCCGCGGUAACACGGAAGCCCCGAGCGUUGUUCGGAUUCAUUGGGCGUAAAGGGUGCGUAGGCGGCGCGGAAAGUCCGGCGUGAAAGGCAGAGGCUCAACCUCUGGACUGCGUUGGAUACUUCCGUGCUUGAAGACUGGAGGGGAGACUGGAAUUCACGGUGUAGCAGCGAAAUGCGUAGAUAUCGUGAGGAAGACCGGUGGCGAAGGCGAGUCUCUGGACAGAUCCUGACGCUGAGGCACGAAGGCUGAGGGAGCGAACAGGAUUAGAUACCCUGGUAGUCCCAGCAGUAAACGAUGUGAGCUUGAUGUGAGGGGAUACGACCCCUUACGUGUCGAAGCUAACGCGAUAAGCUCACCGCAUGAGGAGUACGCCCGCAAGGCUAAUACUCAAAGAUAUUGACGGCGACCCGCACAAGCGUUGGAGUAUGUGGCUUAAUUCGAUGCAACGCGAAGAACCCUACGUGGCGAUGACAUGCAUUGUGUCGUCGGUGAAAGCCGGCUAGUCCUGGAUACAGGACGCUUUGCACAUGUGCUGCAUGGCUGUCGUCAGCUCGUGUCGUGAG
rnacentral:rRNA from 1 species